GAUGAACGCUAGCGGCAGGCCUAACACAUGCAAGUCGAGGGGUAGCAGGAUUAAGCUUGCUUAAUUGCUGACGACCGGCGCACGGGUGCGUAACGCGUAUGCAACCUACCUUAUACUGGGGUAUAGCCCGGAGAAAUUCGGAUUAAUCCCCCAUAGUACUAAUGAAUCGCAUGGUUUAUUAGUUAAAGCAUUGCGGUAUAAGAUGGGCAUGCGUCCUAUUAGCUAGAUGGUGAGGUAACGGCUCACCAUGGCUACGAUAGGUAGGGGGCCUGAGAGGGUGGUCCCCCACACUGGUAUUGAGAAACGGACCAGACUCCUACGGGAGGCAGCAGUGAGGAAUAUUGGAAAAUGGGCGCAAGCCUAAACCAGCCAUGCCGCGUGAAGGAAGAAUGCCCUAUGGGUUGUAAACUGUUUUUAUUUGGGAAUAAACCUCUUUACGUGUAGAGAGCUGAAGGUACCAAAUGAAUAAGCACCGGCUAACUCCGUGCCAGCCGCCGCCGUAA
rnacentral:rRNA from 1 species